rnacentral:rRNA from 1 species
UGCCAGCAGCCGCGGUAAUACGUAGGGGGCUAGCGUUGUCCGGAAUUACUGGGCGUAAAGGGUGCGUAGGCGGCGCCUUAAGUCAGAUGUGAAAUAUCCAUGCUUAACGUGGAGGGUGCAUCUGAUACUGGGGCGCUUGAGUGCAGGAGAGGAAAGUGGAAUUCCUAGUGUAGCGGUGAAAUGCGUAGAUAUUAGGAGGAACACCAGUGGCGAAGGCGACUUUCUGGACUGUAACUGACGCUGAGGCACGAAAGCGUGGGGAGCAAACAGGAUUAGAUACCCUGGUAGUCCACGCUGUAAACGAUGGAUACUAGGUGUAGGGGGCGAUAGCUCUCUGUGCCGCAGCAAACGCAAUAAGUAUCCCGCCUGGGGAGUACGAUCGCAAGGUUGAAACUUAAAGGAAUUGGCGGGGGA